rnacentral:tRNA from 1 species
UGGGAUGUAGCCAAGUGGUAAGGCAUCGGAUUUUGAUUCCGUGAUGCGCAGGUUCGAAUCCUGCCAUCCCAGCCA